UUGACAGCGGUGUGCACGGAGGGAGGGUGGGUUGGUGGGGGUGUCGGAAGGGAAAAUUCUACAAUGGGCGUGGUGUAUCCAUGCGCCCCAAAUUAUCAACCGUUGGAUAAGUAAGUUAAGAUGUGGGUUAAAUCCACACCAUUGAAUGCUGUUAACCGGUUAAAAGGGUUGCUAUAGGUAAAAGUGAAUAAAAUAAAAAUUGAACAAAAAAAUAAAAACAAAACAAGAAAAGAAAAAUAGAACGAUACAAAGGGAGAAAGGGCAAAGAAGAUGUUGAACUACUGAGGCAAUCUCACCAACUCUCUCUUUCAUCUCUCCCUCUCUUCCCCUACCUGUGAAUCGCUUGAUUCUGUGGAUGAAAUUGAGAAGAUCUUAAAUCUCUUGGUCCCUCUCUCUCUCUCUCUCUCUCUCUCUCUCUCUCUCUCUCUCUCUCUCUCUCUCUCUCUCUCUCUGUGUCCAUCUCUCUCUUCGUCCGUCUCUCUCUUCGUCCCCCUCUCUCUCUGUCUACCUCUCUGCUCCUCUUUGUCAUCAGUUCAAACCCUAGAAAAUUGGGGAUUUUUCCAAUAUCAAAGGAUUGACCAAUCUUUCAGUCACAUGUUAGAAUCCAUCCUAUCAUUCAACUCAAUUGUGUUAUCCUUUUCCUUUAUUACAUUCAUUAGUAUUAGCUUGGCAACAAGGUCAAUAGAACCUGUUAACAAAUAUUUAAUAACCAUUAGAAGCUUUCAUCCACUGCUUCUGGGAAAUGCAGCUUUCAUCCACUGCUUCUGGGAAAUGCCUCCCCGAGUUGUUUAUUGCGAACUAUGUAUAGGUACAUGGGUCUGUAAUUAUUUUUGUUGAUGAACAGAUUGUGGAAGUAAUGACCCAGAUUGUGGUUGAAAAAGUGCUUAGUUCAUAUUUCAAUAUGUAGGCAUAUGUUGAAAAUUUUGGAGCGGAGCAAGGGAUGUGGAGGUGGAUCUUAUUUGGGAUAGGCUUCGUUUUUGGGAUUCCCUUGGGCCGUUGGUAUGUUCAGAAGUUAAGGAUUGUUCCUUUCAAGCUAUAUUGUAUUAUUAGAAUUCUGCUGUCAACUACAAGUUUUGUUCGUCUAGUGCCAUGUAUCUUUUUUAAGUUGUUUACCUAGUAUAGCUAGACCAGUGGACAACUUGUCCCUUGUAUUGAUAUGUUCUCUUCUUAAUGAAAUUAUGUUUCUUAUUACAAAAAAAAAAAAAAGACAAUGAAGUGAUUGAGAGAGACAGUGAGUUGGAAAUUGAACAAGAAUAAUGCAAUCGUAAGUUCGGAA